CUUCACAAGCUCCUACUUGGUCAUCACGUUGUAGGAAGAGACUCCCACCCUCUGUACUCUGGACUGACAUAUCUUCAGUGUUUCCUAAUGCCUGGCAGACAGAGUUCUAAGAGAGGCACAAGAGGAUCAGGCCAAACCUAUCAGCCCUGUUCAGAUGGAAAUGGAGAGAAGCAGUUGGCAGCUCUUAUUGCCCCACCGUCUGAGCAGAGCCUAAGGCAGGCCAGCAUCUCCAGGUCCUAAUGAGAAGGAAGUCCCACUGUCCCCAAUGUUAACAAUACCAUCAACACUCCCUGGGGAAAUAAACCUUUAUUUCCAA